AAAAAACACAAAAAAAAAAGCCAAAACAAAACAAAAAAAAAUCCCAAACAAACAAAACCCCCAAACCUGUGGAUAAUUGGCCUUCUUAUUUCUGGAUAGGGUUGGAAGUUGUAUGCCUGAAUAGUAUCUUAAUUGGGUGGUUUUCACUGGCCCAACUGGAUAGAAUAAACGCAAUAAAAAAUGAUUAACAUAAGGAGUACACAAAACCAACAAUCCAUCUCAUAAAUAAAUUAUCCUGGAGCUUUCUGUAAAUGUAAUAGCAUUUCAGUGCAUCUAUUUUCUGUUCUAGCAAUUGAAAGCUCUUGCAAAAUUCCUUCUCUGAGUAGACUGAAGAGAUCUAGGUAAUGAACAGGGAGUUUUCUCUUUCUGGCGAUCAGUUUGACCAGAGUUUGACCUUACACUGAAAAGGCUUAUUUUUGCAGAAUGGCCGAAUACUGCAAGUCGUGAUGGCUUAUCAACCUUUCAGUUAUUUCUAAGAUAAUACAAUUAUUUCCUGACUAAAUUAUGGAAAAUCACCUUCAGCACAGUAUUUCCAAAACUACAAUCAAACCAGCACAGUCAAAAAAACUGGUUAUUUUUGAGCAAGUUGAUUAAAACUUGAAGUUAUCUGGGAUUAAAAAUCCCUUUAUAUGCAGUACUUCAUGUUUAUACCACAGCUAAUUAGCUCAUUAUGUACAUUAGCAUAGUUACUACUAUUAAUAGUUGCAUUGAGAGCUGUGUCAGUGUCGUGUGUAUUCGGUAUUUAUCAAAUAUUCUUCAUGCAAGUGAUGAGCUACUGAAAAAAAAAAAAACCACAGAAGGAUGAACUUGCUGUCCUUCACUGAGCCAGUCCUGCCACUCACUAUUUCAUUUAUAUGGUGUGCUUCAUAGAUGUGAUGGGUGCUGAUCUGACACAGCGAGCCUUGACAGCACUGGUAUCACCUAAAUACGUAUAUACUUUUCUUAGCUGUAUUUCACUGUCUGUCUAAUCAGCUUAAUCAACGGUAAGGAAAAAAUCUGAGUAAUUAAAAUGUACAAAUAUGCUCUUUUGGAAGGGUUGGUUGCAAAGCAGUUUAUUUUGCUAGGAAGGUGUCCUUUGUCUGUAUGUGCUGUGAGCAAGGCUGGAUAAGGCUUAUUUGAAGACUAUUAUCCUUUCCACAGUACGCAUACCAUGCUUGUGACGUUUUCAAGAACGAAUAAGGAUGGAGGGAAGAGGAAAGAAAAGCAUAAUAAAAGAAAUAUUAAACCACUUUUUGAAGUGUG